CGGCCAUAUUGUCUUGAUACACCGUUUCCCGUACGAUCACCGAAGAUAAGCAAACAAGGGCCUGUCAGUACCUAGAUGGGUGACCAUUGGUGUA